rnacentral:lncRNA from 1 species
UUCGUGUGAGAAUCUUAAGUUUUUCUUAUUUUGACAUAAUAGCUAUUUUUUAAUAAAUAUAUUGAUAUUCAACUUAUUGAAUCAAUAUUUUAAGUUUCAGGCCAGUUGUAUCAAAUAUUAUAAGCGCUUGCGCACCAUGAAGGCAGAUUUCCAUUCAGUGCAAAAUGUCGCGCGAUCGACAUUUUGCGAUCACUUUCUUUUGAGAUACAAGCAAUCACACGCAACUGAUCAGGUUGACUGAACGCAUUUCAAAAGAAAGUGAUCGCAAACAGUUGAUCUCGCGAUAUUUUGCACUGAAUGGAAAUCCGCGGCCUUAAGUUUCUGAGGCAUGCAACAUGUACGCACUGCGUACCUAUUUUUAUUAUUUUAAACAAAUGAUAAAAAUGAACUAAUAUAUUCAAAGUGCAUUAAUUUUAAAACACAGAUAUCUGGGGCUGUGAUAAAAGUCUAUUUUACUAUAUGGUGACGGAUGCCUAUAUUUUGCCGGAUACCGGUAUCUGGUUACGAUGAUAAUAAAUUCUAGCGAGGUUUGAACCAAGGAAUGUCAACAAGACAAGAUACAAGUCUGCACGAUGCAUGUGCAAAAGGGGAUCUUUACAAAGUACAAGAGAUCUUGCAAAAAGACUCGGAUAUCAUCAACAGGUUGAAUCAACCUGGCGGUCUCUUGCGCAACACUCCAUUGCACGAAGCUGCACGUGAGGGUCAUGUUGAUAUCUUACAACUGUUGCUUAACCAUGGUGCCAAUGUGAACACGGUGGACAAUGAGGGUGAUACACCAUUGCACUAUACUGCAUCUCAGAGUCAUGUUGGUAUCUUACAACUGUUGCUUAACCAUGGUGCCAGUGUGAACGCAGUGAACUAUGGUCGUGACACACCAUUGCACAAAGCUGCACGUUGGGGUCGUGAUGAUAUCUUACAACUGUUGCUUAACCAUGGUGCCAGUGUGAACAUGGUGAACAAGUAUGGUAAUACACCAUUGCACCACGCUGCAUUAUGGGGUCAUGUGAAAUGCAUUAAGGUUUGUUUCUCUCGUGAGAUAGUCAAUGUUCAGCAGCUCAGUUAAUCCGCGCAAUUAUUGGUAGAAAUAGGCAAAGAGACAAUGCCGCUGAAAAUUGAAUAAACAAUAUCAGUUUUUUGCAGGGACAGUGGAACGAUGUGUGUGUUUGGGAGGGGGGGCAGGUUUUUGAGGUAGGACCCUUUUUAAUGGGUUCAUAAUUUGUAAUUUUCGCUUUAUGAAGCGAACAUGUAAUGAUUUUUUUAAAUACUCGAAUAUUUCCCGAAUAUCAAAAAGGGCACCUUUGGCUUCCCCCCUUGGGAAAGGCCCUGCCCUGCGCCCCCUCUCCAGCGUCCCUGUUUUUUUGUAAUGACAUUUGCAGAGCUGUCAAUUCCGAUGGUUCAAAAAUCAAUUCAGUUCAAAAAAUCGUUUUCCACAAUAAAUCGUAUCAUAAAUUUUUCCACAUAAAUUUAUUUUUGGGGGAGGGGCUUUUGAGUUGGGUCCCCCCUGCCUUCCUCGCGGCGGCACUGGAUGGGGCGUGCCAAUUAAUUACAUGAUGAUCAUGCUUCCCCCCAUUCUGGCAUCACUGCCAUUCCAGGUUUUUGUAAACAUUUGGGUUUUUUUUUCAAUUAAUGAUAUCCUGUGUAAUUCUUGUUUAGGCGUUGUUGAAAAAUGGUGCAAACAUCAAGGCGUUGGACUGGAUCGGUAGAGCUCCGUAUCAAACUGCAAUGCAACACGAACAUACAGAAAUUGCCGAGUGUUUAAGAAAUGCAGGUA